ACGGAAGGCAGCAGUGGGGAAUAUUGGGCAAUGGGCGAAAGCCUGACCCAGCAACGCCGCGUGAAGGAAGAAGGUCUUCGGAUUGUAAACUUCUUUUAUAAGGGACGAAGAAAGUGACGGUACCUUAUGAAUAAGCCACGGCUAACUACGUGCCAGCAGCCGCGGUAAUACGUAGGUGGCGAGCGUUAUCCGGAUUUACUGGGUGUAAAGGGUGCGUAGGCGGGGAUGCAAGUCAGAUGUGAAAUCUAUGGGCUUAACCCAUAAACUGCAUUUGAAACUGUAUCUCUUGAGUGCUGGAGAGGUAGAUGGAAUUCCUUGUGUAGCGGUGAAAUGCGUAGAUAUAAGGAAGAACACCAGUGGCGAAGGCGAUCUACUGGACAGUAACUGACGCUGAGGCGCGAAAGCGUGGGGAGCAAACAGGAUUAGAUACCCUGGUA
rnacentral:rRNA from 1 species